GCUCGCGGUCCUUAGGCUUGGCGGCGGCAGCUUCGCGCCGAGUCCCCGGGGAGCGGCGGUGGCGGCGUCCUGGGGCCGGGAGGAGCGAACACCUGCCGCGGUCCUCCCGCCGGCGCUGGGCUCUGUGUGCUCCGGGAUGGAGCAGGUGUGCAGAGGGUAUCAGCGGCAGGGAAGGAGGCUUUGCCAUCUUGGCUGCACUGGGACUCACAGAGCCACACCCUGGAGGGCCUCCCCCUUGACACUGAUAAGGGUGUGCAUUACAUUUCAGUGAGUGCUGCACGGCUGGGGGCCAACGGGAGCCACAUCCCCCAGACCUCCAGUGUGUUCUCCAUCGAGGUCUACCCUGAAGACCACAGUGAGCUGCAGUCGGUGAGGACAGCCUCCUCAGACCCUGGUGAGGUGGUAUCAUCUGCCUGUGCUGCGGAUGAACCUGUGACUGUUUUGACGGUGAUUUUGGAUGCCGACCUCACCAAGAUGACCCCACAGCAAAGGAUUGACCUCCUGCACAGGAUGCGGAGCUUCUCAGAAGUAGAGCUUCACAACAUGAAAUUAGUGCCGGUGGUGAAUAACA
rnacentral:sRNA from 1 species